rnacentral:rRNA from 1 species
AAUGAACGCUGGCGGCAGGCCUAACACAUGCAAGUCGAACGAAGUCUUCGGACUUAGUGGCGGACGGGUGAGUAACACGUGGGAACGUACCUUUUGGUUCGGAACAACUCAGGGAAACUUGAGCUAAUACCGGAUGAGCCCUUAGGGGGAAAGAUUUAUCGCCGAAAGAGCGGCCCGCGUUAGAUUAGCUAGUUGGUGAGGUAAAGGCUCACCAAGGCUACGAUCUAUAGCUGGUCUGAGAGGAUGAUCAGCCACACUGGGACUGAGGCACGGCCCAGACUCCUACGGGAGGCAGCAGUGGGGAAUCUUGCGCAAUGGGCGAAAGCCUGACGCAGCCAUGCCGCGUGAAUGAUGAAGGUCUUAGGAUUGUAAAAUUCUUUUACCAGGGACGAUAAUGACGGUACCUGGAGAAAAAGCCCCGGCUAACUUCGUGCCAGCCGCCGCCGUAACAC